GAUGAACGCUGGCGGCGUGCUUAACACAUGCAAGUCGAACGAUGAAGCCCAGCUUGCUGGGUGGAUUAGUGGCGAACGGGUGAGUAACACGUGAGUAACCUGUCCUUAACUCUGGGAUAAGCCUGGUAAACUGGGUCUAAUACCGGAUAGGAGCGUCCACCGCAUGGUGGGUGUUGGAAAGAUUUAUCGGUUUUGGAUGGACUCGCGGCCUAUCAGCUUGUUGGUGGGGUAAUGGCUCACCAAGGCGACGACGGGUAGCCGGCCUGAGAGGGUGACCGGCCACACUGGGACUGAGACACGGCCCAGACUCCUACGGGAGGCAGCAGUGGGGAAUAUUGCACAAUGGGCGCAAGCCUGAUGCAGCGACGCCGCGUGAGGGAUGACGGCCUUCGGGUUGUAAACCUCUUUCAGUAGGGAAGAAGCGAAAGUGACGGUACCUGCAGAAGAAGCACCGGCUAACUACGUG
rnacentral:rRNA from 1 species